rnacentral:misc_RNA from 1 species
GAUGAAGAACGCAGCGAAAUGCGAUACGUAGUGUGAAUUGCAGAAUCCAGUGAAUCAUCGAAUCUUUGAACGCACAUUGCGCCCGCCAGUAUUCUGGCGGGCAUGCCUGUUCGAGCGUCAUUACAACCCUCAGGCCCCCGGGCCUGGCGUUGGGGAUCGGCGGAGCCCCCCGUGGGCACACGCCGUCCCCCAAAUGCAGUGGCGGUCCCGCCGCAGCUUCCAUCGCGUAGUAGCUAACACCUCGCGACUGGAGAGCGGCGCGGCCACGCCGUAAAACACCCAACUCUUCUGAAGUUGACCUCGAAUCAGGUAGGAAUACCCGCUGAACUUAAGCAUAUCAAUAAGCGGAGGA